ACGGUCCAAAAAACUAAUUCCUUUUUUUUUAACUGAUACCAAUGCGUGAAAUCGAUGAUACAUUUAUAUAAAUAAGCAUAUUUUUAAUAGAGAGACUUUUAAAUAAAUUUAACAAUUACGUGUAACUUUUAUAGCCUUUUUUAUGUUAAACUUUAGCGAAGCAAUAUAUUUUUAAAAUCUCUGAAAAAUAAAUGUAUUAGAAUCAUUAAAUUAUACUUAUUAAUCAUUAAUUAAUACGCGUUUCUUUUACGCUGUGUUUUAUGUUAUCGUAGAUUUUAUUUCACUUCAAAGCACGCAAUUCUUUGCGAGAUUCUUAAAUUAACUAAGAAAAUUUUUAUUACUAAUCGGUCUAAAAUCGAUUUUGAGAUUAAUGCUCCAAUGAUUAGACCGUCUUCCCUCCAAGAGGCCGCAUAGUAAGAAUCUAUAAAACUUGGUUGUAAAUUAUAGGAGCCGCGUUGCGUGACUUGCGACAUACAUCGUGACGAUGCGAACUCUCUCGCAUAUACACAUAAUACGUACGCACGUUGCGUGAGAGCGUGUCGCGUUCGCAUCAUUUUUAAACCAUCGCGCCGUCGCGACACCGUCAGUGGGGUGAUCUUCUUCGUCGAUCUCCCGAGUGACGACCGAACUCAAAAUCAAAAUAAACGUUUGACGUCUCAGUUUCUACACGUAUAAGAGAAAUUAGUUCUCCAUGGAAAGAAUAAGUUUCAGUAAUAAAAAUACCCAUUGACCGAAGACUCCUUGUACAGUGAUAUCAAAAGUGAAAAGUUCAAAUAUCCUCGACUCCGAGAAUUUAAAAAUAUCUUAUAGAUGAUGAGUGGAUUGAUCCAAUAAACGAUAGUUUAUCUUGAAAUUGUUAUGUGAUAGUCUAGUAAUUAACCAUUACAACAAAAAUAAUGAAAAUAUUAUAAAACAGCAUUAUAUAAUGUAUAUUAUAUAAUAUUACAGAAUAUUAUAACACAAAACAAUUGGAAUAUAAGCCCAUAUUUAGAACGCACUUAUAAAAAUGUUACCGCGUUUUUCGUCGUUAUCUAUCUUUCUUUAUCAUUCACUACAUGUAAAAUUUUUAAAAGAAUAGAGUGACAAAGAAGCGCAGUAAUAUUUUUAUAAGCGCAUUCAAAUAUAGGAUCAUAGAAUAUGUAAACAUAGAAAACAAUAAAACAAGUUAAAUAUUUGUAUAUAAAUAACAUAAUUGAAAUGACAUUACAUUUUUUUAUUAAAACAGAGUAAAUAUAGGUGAGAUAUGUUAGGAAUAAAUAGUUUUUGUUUCAUAUAAAAGAAACGAUACAAAAGAUUAUUGAAAAAUUUAAAUAAAUGUUUGUAUAUAUUUUUACAUAUAAACGUGACAAUUCAAAACUGAUUGCCACCGACGGUGGUGCACGACGAGAUAAAACACCUUAAUUUUGCAAUUAAUGAUAUGAAAUAUUUGAUAAUGAUGAUACAUAGAAUAUAAGAUAUCAUAUGAAUAUUCUAGAAUAUUCUAGAUAUCGUACGAACAUUCGUAUAAUAUCGUGAUAUCGUGCGUAUAUUUGUAAAAUAUCACAAUAUUCGUUCGAUAUCAUGUGCUGUUAGGAAUCUGCUUACACUCCAAAUAUCAAACGGCCUGAAAGGAAAACUCAACGUGUAUCACUUGUUAAAUCACUUUCUGCACGAUAGUUGUCAAAUACAAACAUAAUACAUACAUAAAAUUUAUUUUUCAAAUUAAUUUAUUGAGUUCAAGAAUACUUUGCGCAAAUUAUAUAUUAUUUCGUUCACUUAACAUCUAAUAGCACACAAAUGAAGUUGAUUCCAAUUCCAAUUUUACGAUCUAUAAAGUCUGUGUGUUCCCAAUUGAAACGAGCUUGGUUCGAUCGACACAAGAGUGUUACUGUUAAUGACGUCACACGUUCAGUUCCGAGUUAAAUGUAGGAGUAAUGAAAACUCGAAGCGUGUAAAGAUACGUUCGAUCCAUAUUUGUUUUUUUAGGAAUUCAGGAUCUCGAAGGUGCGUGGGAAAAUAGUGACACAAUUAAUAAUCAAUUUGUUUGUAAGUCUAUUAAUAAUAAAGUAUUGGUAAUAUAUCUAUAAUCGAAUAGGAUUUAAUGGCAAUUGAGUUCAAUUGCUUGUAUGGAAACGAUCGGAAGAAUUCACUUCAGUGUCCCGCCGAUAUCGGAUCGCGUGUCAAUUCAACCCGGAUCGAUCGACUCGGCCACCAGCAAACGGCUUAAAGAUCGCUCCUUGUCAAUCUGUCGCGCCGCCACUCGCUUUACCGUUUCAUGCGCAUUCACGUUUCCGAUCGCGUUACGGCAGUCACGGCAGCAUCUCUCUCUCUCUCUCUCUCUCUCUCUCUCUCUCUCUCUCUCUCUCUCUCUCUCUCUCUCGCGUAUCAUCUCGAAACAAGGGGAGCAAGCAUUGGGCGAACGCGCAGUACUGACCCAGUUGAUAGAACCGCAAACGAUAGAUCCGCCGCUGCGUGUCGACGACGUCGAGAGGCGAAAGGGCGAGGGGGAAAGCGCCGCACCGCGCACAGCGUAACAGCGAUGAGUCACUUUCCGCGUGCGUACGACGACACGUCGAUCUUUGCACCCUCCGUGCCGCUCUGUCUCGUUCCUCUCCCUCCUCCCCCUCCUCUUCCUCUUCAGUACCAUUGCACCGCCGCCGCCUUUCCCACAUUUCCCGGCGGUAUGUGCGCGACGCGCGUGCACACGUGACAUUUCGAGUAUAUCUCGAAUUAAACCGUAAACAUCGUAGUACAACCUUCGCGGCCGCGCGGGCGCCAACGCCGUCGGUGUCAAUGAUCUCUGCCUGCCACUUAUUGAAUCGCGCGCUCGCGCCUCGUUCGUGUCACUGCACCGUGUGUACGUGUGCGCUUGUGUUUCGCCGGGGAUGUGUUCUUCCGUCACUAUAGGGUGACCGAAAAGUCGCGCGACACCUGUUAUUUCCUGUUAUCACCGCGGGGAUUAACAAUUGGGCUUCGAGAGGGAUUGACGAUUGGUCUCUUUGUGUGGCAUAUAGAAGAAUGCAAUACGAUUUAAACGGCAAACAAUUCGAACGAAUCGCAGCUAAAAAUGUUAGAACGAUUUAAGAGAGCAGCGGAAAAAUGUAUGAUCAUAUAUCAUCCAGAAGUGAGGGAAGGAGAAAAAGAAGAUAUGGAAAUAGUUAAUAAGUAGAGAGAAGGACACACAAAAGACAGUAUGAAGAAGGCAGGAUUAUAAAUAAGAAAAUAAGUACUGGUUACAAGAGGAUAGUCGGUUGUGUUUAUUUUGAGAGAGUAAACAUAGUGUAGAACAUUAUAUAAGGGAGUGUCAGGACGUAAAAGGAUGGUUCGCGAAUUUAGGUAUGGACGAAAAAAGGAAAUUAUGAAUGAGGAUUUGGGGAGAGAAUUUAGAUAGGAUUAAAGGUAAGACACUGAAGAAACUGUGGAAAGAAAGAAAGAGAGAAUUGAAGAAAUGAAGUAAAAUAAGGAAGGAAAAAGAAAAAAAGAUUGACCUCAGCCAUUCAUUGAUCUUACAAUUAGAGGUAAUUUCCAUUUGUACAGUUAAUUAGACAAUUUUAUAAAUUUUAAAUUAAGGGGGUAUUUUGGCUUGACGGAUAAAAAAAUCGAUUUUUUUCAUAUUUUUAUAUUUUAAUUUUCAAAAAUGUGUCCCUAAAAUAUUAAGACGAAAUUCAUUAAAUUGACGAAGUUAUAAAGGUUUAAAGGACGCAGCCUCCAUAUGGCAUGCCGAUCGAGAUUUCCAUACGGCGGAUGUAUCGUUGCGUGUCAAUUAGUAUUAUUAUACGAAGACUUAAAUAAUAAUAAUUUAUUAUAACGAUGCCUCGAAUCAUAUACGCAAAACAAUAAUAAAACUUUAAAUUCAUUAAUUUGGAUAUUUGCAUUUAAACAUUUACACCGCGAGAAGAAAACAGUGUAAAUUGUCACUUUUUGGUUAUUUGCGUUGUUAAUGAAGUUUUUUAUUCAAUUUUGCUAAUAAUGAACAUAAUGAAAUUGAAAAUCAGCCAAAAUUCCUCGCCGAUACCAGGGACAACAAGCACAUCAAACGUUGGGAGCAGCAGGCGUCAUAUGAAGCAAAAAAGGUAAGAAUUGCGAAGAGACAAGAGAAAACUAAUAAAUGAAUUUUUUGAAGCUGAGGAAGAUUUCUUAUACGGUCCUGGCAUAGCUGACUAAGGGUAAGUUAUUGGAAUUAUUUAUUAUCCCCCUCAAAAGUGCAUGAAGAACUUUAAAUGCGUUUCUUUCUAAACGACAUUUUUCAAAUCGGACGCCAUGAUUUCUCAAAUCUACUGAGCCGAUUGAUUUGAAAUUUUACACAAACCUAAUGCAUAUAUGUAGUUAUCGCGUCAACUAGAAUCUUUUUGAUAUCUUCAAAAUUACUAUUUUUUCGGACUGCAAAAUGUUAAAAUUUUAUAAUAAAAAUUACUCUUUAAGAACCGUCAUUUUGUCAAUUUUUUUUUUCAAAUUAAUUUAUUCUAGUUCACGCGAUAACCACAUUUAUUAGGAACAAAAAAAUGUAUGUAUUUCAGAUGAGCAGGACGGUAGCAAUCGUAGCGCUCGAUCGAGGAGAAUUGCAAAAUCGUACUUUCUUCGACAAUUUGUAUACUUUUUAAUAAAAAAAUUUUGAAAAAAAUUAAGACGCUUUCUCAAAGAUGAAUAAAUGUAAGUAUAAAACGUUAAAUUUGUAGAUCUAACCAUUUGCUUAAAAUUAAUUCCCAAAAAUUGCCUUGAGAACGGGCCGUCAUACCACAAUACCUCCUUAACAAAUUAGCAAUAUGAGCAAUCGAAUAGCUCACUCGUCCUAACGCUAACAGUUUGUCGUGUUUACGCGCCACCUUGAGCAUAAUAUCUUUUCUAGAACACUGUGUAUGUCAUCAUAUUGCGUCGCAUUACGUAAUAUCUGUCUGUUUAAACAUUAUGACGCAGAAGAUAUCUGCAUAUAUGUACAUACACGCACGAUAUAUAGAUAUAUCUGUGCUUUCGGCUCCCACGCGCGUCACUCGCGCCGCGUCGCCGCCACCGUUGUGUCGUCGUCGUUGUCAUACGUCACUCGUCGAUCAUUUCAUGUAUCACUGCCCUGUGCCGCCCGUGAACUCCCCGCCGUUCGGUUUCGUAGGUAAACGAAACCGAACGUGUCCGAGUGCGCACGUGCGUACGUCUGGCUGCGUGUCUCGCUUGUCCACGUUCGACGGAACGAAAGACGAGCGGCGGCAGAAGGGACGCGCCAUGCGGGGGGCGACCGGGAGCAAAGGGGAAGGGGAGAGGACAAGAGUCACGUGUGCGGAAGAUCUACUACGAUUUACUCGCGGAUCCCGGCAGAAGCGUCUGCCACCCUUGCCCCCCCUGUGACCGCUUCGUUCUCCCCCUCGCUUCCUCCUCCCUCGUCCUCCUCUCUUAUUCUCCUUCUAUUCUUGUUGUACUACGACGGGUUACUCCACUUUCAUUCAGACGCCGGUCUAAAAAUAAAGUCCCUGAUUCACGAUGCAUGAAUGACAAUCUUAUCGCGGGAGGCCUUAAAUUGCGGAAAGGAUACACGCGGACGUAUACCGACUAGCCGUUUGUCGUGCAUUUCACGCGUCGUGUAACACAGUUUUUUUUUAUCUGUACAAUAAAAAUCGCAAUGUACGGGAAUAAACUCUUUUAAUAGCGAUAAUAAAACGUCAAUGAAAGGAUUGACGUAAUAUUCUCUGUUCCCAUUGAUAAAUUCCUUCUUUAAGUUCGACAUUACAAUCUUUAUUCAAUGUAGAGAAACUGGAUUCUCUAGUUUCUAUCAGAUCAUGGAAAAUUGGUUGAUCGGAAAAAUUGUAAAUCGAAUUGUAUUUUUAAUUAACCAAAAGUGCAAAAAGUAUUAUACUAUACUUUACUUAUAGAAGAGAAGCGUGGCAUUUAGAUUACAAAAUAUGUAACUUUUAUUGUGAUUUUCUUUGUGUAAGAAAAGAGCUUGUCUUGCAUACACACGUAUAAAUUUUCGUUAAAAUUUAACACUAAAUUAAAAGAUAAAGCAUUAUCUAUUAAUAACUAAAGCUCAAUUGACAUUAAUAAGUCUUGUAUAUUUCAAUCCAUUAAUAAAACCCAUCAGUUUUCCUCGCUACUGAGAAUGAAAAUCAAUUAUCCUCUUUUCAAUUUAUCUUCUAUAUUUGAAAGAGAGUGUUGAAUAGUUUUAGUACUCACUUGCGGAGGAUUUUGCCUCUCUCAAAAUAUACAAUUAUAAUAGUAUUAGAUAUAGAAAUUAAUUUGAUGCCUUUACAUUGAAUUAAUUACAAUCCAUUUUAAAUUUAAACAUUUUCCCGCUAUUUUGGAAUUUUUAAGUAAUUACUUCAAAAUUUAUAAAACACUGUUGAACUUAGCAAAACAGAUGGCAUUAACUCACAAAGCACGAUAGCCUCCGACAAGCAUUAUAUUAAACAGUGUUCUCUGUUUGCAAUUUUAAAAAAAUGCUGCCGAAGCCGCAGAAAUCGAUUUGUUCUGCUUUGGGCAAAAUGCAGUGACGUACAAGACAUGCAAGAAAUUGUAUCAAAGAUUGCAGAGUGAUAAUUUCGAUUUUUGAGAUCGUCCCGAUCAACCAAAAAAAAUUUUUUUUAAAUGAAGCACUUGAGCAUUAGUUGCUAAGUGAAAAUAACGCUUAAACUCAAGAGAACUUGCUUUACAACUUUUAGUGACCCAGAAAGCCAUUUCCUGCCGUUUGAGUAAAUUAGGAAAAAUCCAAAAGUUUAAUCGAUGGGUUUCAUAGGAGUUUAGACAACCAAAAAACGAUAUGAAAUGGCUAUGUCCUUGUCCUGACGAGAUUCCAAGAAAAGAAUUUUUGUACAAAAUCGUAAUGGGCGAUAAAAAAAUAGGUAUUACGCGACAAUCCUAAACAAAAAAAUCGUGGAUUAAUUUUGCGACAUCAACUGUAAAACCUAAUGUCCAUACCAAAAAAGUCUACUAUAUUUGAUAAGAUAAGAAGGGAGUAGUAAAUUACGAGUUGCUAGAACUUGAUCGGAUUAUCAACUUAGAGUGUUAUCAGCAGCAACCCAUCCGUUUGAGCGACAAACUUGAAAGAAAAAGAUCAUUUUGUACUGGAUACGGAACGAAGCAAGCCAUUUUGCAGCACGACAACAUUAAAUCACAAAAGAGGGCGUCAUUUAUUCAUUGAGCUGGGAAGUUCUCCCUCAUACGACUUGUUCAUCGGACUUAUUCACCUAGCCCCGUCAAAUUAUCACCUGUUUCGAUUACUCCAACAUCAUUAAACUGAUAUGUAUUUUAAAACAUUAGAAGAAGUGCGAAAAAGUAUUGAUGAUUUCAUUGCAUUAAAACUAUUUCGAGGAUUAAAAGAUAAUUUUUUAUAUAAAUAAACGGUAAAUUUAUUUAAAAAGA